rnacentral:rRNA from 1 species
UGGGGAAUAUUGCACAAUGGGCGCAAGCCUGAUGCAGCCAUGCCGCGUGUGUGAAGAAGGCCUUCGGGUUGUAAAGCACUUUCAGCGGGGAGGAAGGCGUUAAGGUUAAUAACCUUGGCGAUUGACGUUACCCGCAGAAGAAGCACCGGCUAACUCCGUGCCAGCAGCCGAGGUAAUACGGAGGGUGCAAGCGUUAAUCGGAAUUACUGGGCGUAAAGCGCACGCAGGCGGUCUGUCAAGUCGGAUGUGAAAUCCCCGGGCUCAACCUGGGAACUGCAUUCGAAACUGGCAGGCUAGAGUCUUGUAGAGGGGGGUAGAAUUCCAGGUGUAGCGGUGAAAUGCGUAGAGAUCUGGAGGAAUACCGGUGGCGAAGGCGGCCCCCUGGACAAAGACUGACGCUCAGGUGCGAAAGCGUGGGGAGCAAACAGG